rnacentral:rRNA from 1 species
GGUCCGCAAGAUUAAAAUCAUAAGGAAUUGACGGGUGCCGUCACAAGCGGUUGAGCAUGUGGUUUAAUUGGAAGCAACGCGCAGAUCCGUACCGGCCCUUGACAUGUCCAGGAUCGGCCUCAGAGACGGGAUCCUUCAGUUCGGCUGGCGGGAACACAGGUGCUGCAUGGCUGUCGUCAGCUCGUGUCGUGAGAUGUUGGGUUAAGUCCCGCAACGAGCGCAACCCUCGCCCUUAGUUGCCAGCAUUAAGUUGGGCACUCUAAGGGGACUGCCGGUGAUAAGCCGCGAGGAAGGUGGGGAUGACGUCAAGUCCUCAUGGCCCUUACGGGCCGGGCUACACACGUGCUACAAUGGCGGUGACAAUGGGACGCAAUGGAGCAAUCCUGCGCAAAUCUCAAAAAGCCGUCUCAGUUCGGAUUGGGGUCUGCAACUCGACCCCAUGAAGUCGGAAUCGCUAGUAAUCGUGGAUCAGCACGCCACGGUGAAUACGUUCCCGGGCCUUGUACACACCGCCCGUCACACCAUGGGAGUUGGGUUUACCCGAAGGUGGUGCGCUAACCCGCAAGGGAGGCAGCCAACCACGGUAGGCUCAGCGACUGGGGUGAAGUC